rnacentral:rRNA from 1 species
GACGAACGCUGGCGGCAUGCUUAACACAUGCAAGUCGAACGGAAAGGCCCUGCUUUUGUGGGGUGCUCGAGUGGCGAACGGGUGAGUAACACGUGAGUAACCUGCCCUUGACUUUGGGAUAACUUCAGGAAACUGGGGCUAAUACCGGAUAGGAGCUCCUGCUGCAUGGUGGGGGUUGGAAAGUUUCGGCGGUGGGGGAUGGACUGGCGGCUUAUCAGCUUGUUGGGGGGGUAGUGGCUUACCAAGGCUUUGACGGGUAGUCGGCCUGAGAGGGUGACCGGCCACAUUGGGACUGAGAUGCGGCCCAGACUCCUACGGAGGGCAGCAGUGGGGAAUAUUGCACAAUGGGCGGAAGCCUGAUGCAGCAACGCCGCGUGCGGGAUGACGGCCUUCGGGUUGUAAACCGCUUUCGCCUGUGACGAAGCGUGAGUGACGGUAAUGGGUAAAGAAGCACCGGCUAACUACGUG